GUGGGGAAUUUUGGACAAUGGGCGAAAGCCUGAUCCAGCCAUGCCGCGUGCAGGAUGAAGGCCUUCGGGUUGUAAACUGCUUUUGUACGGAACGAAAAGACUCCUUCUAAUAAAGGGGGUCCAUGACGGUACCGUAAGAAUAAGCACCGGCUAACUACGUGCCAGCAGCCGCGGUAAUACGUAGGGUGCAAGCGUUAAUCGGAAUUACUGGGCGUAAAGCGUGCGCAGGCGGUUAUAUAAGGCAGAUGUGAAAUCCCCGGGCUCAACCUGGGAACUGCAUUUGUGACUGUAUAGCUAGAGUACGGUAGAGGGGGAUGGAAUUCCGCGUGUAGCAGUGAAAUGCGUAGAUAUGCGGAGGAACACCGAUGGCGAAGGCAAUCCCCUGGACCUGUACUGACGCUCAUGCACGAAAGCGUGGGGAGCAAACAGGAUUAGAAACCCUGGUAGUCC
rnacentral:rRNA from 1 species